CGGUUGUAAAUCUUCCGAUUGUUCUUCCUGUUCCGUUUCAAGGUCGUCGCUGCAGAAACCUACAAAGGACCGCGCACACACACGUGUGUCGCCUCUGAGACGAGGCGGCUCUAAAUGGAUCUGGAGGUCAUGGCAGCAAUGAGAAUUGAUUGGCGACAGUGAGGAAAGUCCAGGGAGGCUUAAGGAUGAAGGUGCAGCUGUGCGAUGAUGGGGUGACAGAACCAAUGGGAGCGUCUUAAGUGCGUCUGCUCCACGCUGUGGUUGAACCUGGAGGAACACCAGAGCAGCUGCUCCUGACUCAAAGGUGAGCGCUGACACCUGCGGAACCAAGAGGAGCCUCAGAGGGAAGCAGAACAAAGAUGGAGACUCACAAUCACAGAGUCGGAGAGAGAUUCACAUCGUAUUAGUGUCAAAAAUGGACAAAAGUUAGAGGCUGAACAUUUCACUUUCAGACAUUUGAACCUGGAACAUUUUCAGAGCCGCAGAAAGAUUAAGGGUUUCUCAGAACAAAAGCGAUGUAGAACAGAGGAGAAUUCAGCUGUAAUCUUCAGAAAGAGCUCCGUGUUCUCGUAUUUCUGUGAUUUCUUCAUCUGUCCUUCCCUUCUUCCUCUUCAUCUUUUUACCCAGAGCUCAUUCUUUUGUCGCUUCAUUGUUGUCUGUGUCUUAAAUAAAGGCUUUCACUUCUUUUCUCUGCUCUCUGAUUCAUGAUGACCACUAUAGUAAAUCGAUUUUUUUUUGUAAUUUAUUUGGGUUUCUUCUCAAUUGAACUCACUUUUCUCUCAUUUCGGUUUGAUUCCUGUGAUUAUAUGUUUGUCUUAAG
ensembl:lncRNA